UCCGGCUUGGCGCCGGCAGUCUCCCUAGAGUCCCCACCAUUACGUGCUGGCAACUAAGGACGGGGGUUGCGCUCGUUGCGGGACUUAACCCAACACCUCACGACACGAGCUGACGACAGCCAUGCAGCACCUGUGCACGUGUCCCGAAGGAGGGCCUGGCUUUCACCAGGCUUGCACGUGCAUGUCAAGUCCAGGUAAGGUUCUUCGCGUUGCGUCGAAUUAAGCCACAUGCUCCGCCGCUUGUGCAGGCCCCCGUCAAUUUCUUUGAGUUUUAACCUUGCGGCCGUACUCCCCAGGCGGGGUGCUUAAUGCGUUAGCUUCGGCACGGAGGGAGUCGACACCCCCCACACCUAGCACCCAUCGUUUACGGCGUGGACUAC
rnacentral:misc_RNA from 1 species